rnacentral:misc_RNA from 1 species
UACAGAGGCCUCAAGCGUUAUCCGGAUUCACUGGGCGUAAAGGGUGCGUAGGCGGUGUGAUUAGUCAGGUGUUAAAUCCUUGGGCUCAACCCAAGAAUCGCAUUUGAAACGGUCACACUAGAAGAAGUGAGAGGUAAACAGAACUCUCGGUGUAGGGGUGAAAUCCGUUGAUAUCGAGGGGAAUACCAAAUGCGAAGGCAGUUUACUGGCACUUUCUUGACGCUGAGGCACGAAAGCGUGGGUAGCGAAUGGG